GACGAACGCUGGCGGCGUGCUUAACACAUGCAAGUCGAACGAUGAAGCGGGUGCUUGCACUCGUGGAUUAGUGGCGAACGGGCGAAUAACACGUGAGUAACCUGUCCUUUUCUUUGGGAUAACGGCUGGAAACGGCUGCUAAUACUGGAUAUUCAGGCUGCAUCGCAUGGUGUGGUUUGGAAAGGUUUUUUCUGGGAUUGGGUGGGCUCGCGGCCUAUCAGCUUGUUGGUGGGGUGAUGGCUUACCAAGGCUUUGACGGGUAGCCGGCCUGAGAGGGUGGGCGGUCGCACUUGGACUGGGAUACGGCCCAGACUCCUACGGGAGGCGGCAGUGGGGAAUAUUGCACAAUGGACGAAAGUGUGAUGCAGCGGCGCCGCGUGGAGGGUGUAGGCCUUCGGGUUGUGAACUCCUUUGUCUCGCGAAAAAGGCACAGUUUUGGCUGUGUUGAUGGUAGUGGGGGAAGAAGCGCCGGCUAACUACGUG
rnacentral:rRNA from 1 species